CAACCUCAACUCAUAUGGGACUACCCCCUGAAUUUAAGCAUAUUAAUUAGGGGAGGAAAAGAAACUAACAAGGAUUUUCUUAGUAGCGGCGAGCGAAAAGAAAACAGUUCAGCACUAAGUCACUUUGUCUAUAUGGCAAAUGUGAGAUGCAGUGUAUGGAGCGUCAAUAUUCUAGUAUGAGAAAUUAAUGAUUUAAGUCCUUCUUAAAUGAGGCCAUUUACCCAUAGAGGGUGCCAGGCCCGUAUAACGGUAAUGAUUGCUAGAUGAUGUUUCCAAAGAGUCGUGUUGCUUGAUAGUGCAGCACUAAGUGGGUGGUAAACUUCAUCUAAAACUAAAUAUAACCAUGAGACCGAUAGUAAACAAGUACCGUGAGGGAAAGUGGAAAGAACUCUGAAUAGAGAGUUAAACAGUAC
rnacentral:ncRNA from 1 species